AGGACGAACGCUGGCGGCGUGCUUAACACAUGCAAGUCGAGCGGAAAGGCCCUUCGGGGUACUCGAGCGGCGAACGGGUGAGUAACACGUGAGUAAUCUGCCCCUAGCUCUGGGAUAGCUCCGGGAAACCGGGAUUAAUACCAGAUACGACCGCUUUAGACAUCUGUUGUGGUGGAAAGAAUUUCGGCUAGGGAUGAGCUCGCGGCCUAUCAGCUUGUUGGUGAGGUAACGGCUCACCAAGGCGACGACGGGUAG
rnacentral:rRNA from 1 species